rnacentral:lncRNA from 1 species
AAAUAAAAUAAGACAAAUGGGCUAAAAACUCUGAUAAAAAAAACUUAAAGUUAUAGAUAUAUGGAGAGCUAUAAAUCCAAAUAAAACGCAAUAUACUGGAAAAGAAAAAAUAAUGAAGUAGCUAGUAGAAUUGAUUAUUUUCUAGUAAGUGAAGAUGUGAGACCAAGAGUACUCAGCACUGAUAUACGACCUGUAACAAUUCAAUAUACAGAUCACUUAGCGAUUUCACUUAAAAUUAAUCAUUGUCAAGGGAACAAAGGAAAGGGAUACUUCAAAUUAAACAAUAAUAUCCUUAACGACGA